CUCUUCGGGGAUGAUUAAACCGGCGCACGGGUGAGUAACACGUGAGUGACCUGCCUUUUAGACUGGAACAACUUACCGAAAGGUGAGCUAAUGCCGGAUGAGUUAUAUAAGUGCAUGUUUAUAUAGGAAAAGUUGGGGAGACCUGACGCUGAAAGAUGGACUCGCGUCCCAUUAGCUAGUUGGUAGGGUAAUGGCCUACCAAGGCGACGAUGGGUAGCCGGCCUGAGAGGGUGGCCGGCCACACUGGGGCUGAGACACGGCCCAGACUCCUACGGGAGGCAGCAGUGGGGAAUUUUGCGCAAUGCUCGUAAGAGUGACGCAGCGACGCCGCGUGAAUGACGAAGGCCUUCGGGUCGUAAAGUUCUUUCGACAGGGAAGAAAAUGCCUAUAAGUGACUGUGUAUGUAUUGACGGUACCUGUAUAAGCAGCCCCGGCUAACUCCGUGCCAGCAGCCGCGGUAAUACGGAGGGGGCGAGCGUUGUUCGGAGUGACUGGGCGUAAAGAGCACGUAGGCGGUGUUGUAAGUCAUUAGUCAAAGACUAGAGCUCAACUUUAGUAAGGCUAGUGAUACUAUAAUACUAGAGUAUCAGAGAGGAUUGCAGAAUUCCUGGUGUAGCGGUGAAAUGCGUAGAUAUCAGGAGGAAUACCGUUAGCGAAGGCGGCAAUCUGGCUGGAAACUGACGCUGAGGUGCGAAAGCGUGGGUAGCAAACAGGAUUAGAUACCCUGGUAGUCCACGCUGUAAACGAUGGAUGCUAGGUGUUGGGCUUUUAAGUUCAGUGCCGCA
rnacentral:rRNA from 1 species